GGUCCCCUGCCUUCUCGCCCGGCCUCAGUUUCCCCAGCUUUCCAGUGGCUCUGGGCCCGUUCGCCUGGCAUUCGCCGAGCACGUACGAGGGGCCGGGUCUUGGGGAUGGGGGGAACCAGGUGGAUACUGCCGAGCAGGCGCGGCAGGGACACGUGAGCAAACACAGUCGUCACGCGGUGUUAAGUGCCACGCGCAAUGGGGGUCCUGGGGAAGGGGACCAGAGCAGAGAGCAUCAGGUUGCCUUGCCGAGGAGGACGCCGGCUGAUGUUCCGGGCACACGGCUGUACGUGGCGUUGCAGCUGGCAGGCAGGAUCCAGGGAGAACUUGCGGACCCAGCCCCGGGGUCUCCGGUCUGUUGGGACCGGCAGUCUUAGUUUCUUUCCCUGAUGCAACUUAAGGAAGGAAGGAAGAAAGAAAGAAAGAAAGAGCUUAUUUCCCCCAUAGUUCUUGGUGCUGUCCGUCGUGAGGAAGUCAGGGCAGUAAGUGCUUGAAGCAGCUGGCCACGUCGUUUCCACAGUUCUGAAGUAUAGAAUCUUGAGAGCCAUCAGUGCCUGCUAGUGCACUCUCCCUUCUUUAUGGAGGCCAGGAGUUCCUGCCCACAGCUACCUGGGUCUCCUCACAUCGGUUAACCUGAUCAAGAGAAUCAAUCCCUUCCUGGUAUGCUCCGAGGCCCGUCUCCCAGGUGACCCUAGCUUCUGUCAGGUUGACCACACUAACCAUUCCACCAGUCUCUGGCUCCUUGUGGACUGCAGGCAAGUGCAGGCAGUAGGUGAACGGAAACUGUGGUGUAGUGUGUGGUGGUGGGAGAGGAAGUGAAGAGAAGUGGGUGGGUCAAGGAAUAACUAGAGGUGGACUUGACAAGGCAGGAGAUGAGGGAUGCCGAGGGAGGCAGCAAUGGCUUCACUGGUGCUGACUGCCUUCUGCCAAAGAAAACAGUUGUUCGGUUGGCCGUUUCUAAGUGACUUGAGAGUCAGAUGAAGACCCGAGGAAUAUUAAGGUAGCUCCUUGCAGCACCUUGAGGUUGAGCUGUCGGCUGGAGUUACGGGGUUGGUCGUGGUGGGCUGGGAAUGAAGGCGGCAAAGAGAGGCUGGGCUGCAGCCCUCAGGCAUCUGUGCUUACUGAAUGAGUCAGAAAGAAGGAAGACUCCAGAGACUGUGGCAAGUUGCACCCGCUAGGUCUCUGAGGAGGAAGCUGUCAGUUUCGUGAGCAGAGCCACAGAAACCCGGGCUCUGGCGAGGUGACAGGGAAAGAGUAACUGCCUGGGUGAACAGCCUGACAGACUGAGCCCCUUAGGUGAGGACUCCAUCAAGGGCCCACUGCCCAUUCCCCAUCAUGGAGGCCGAGAGGAUCCUUCCAGCCAGGGGAGCUGCCCUUUGAAAACCGUGGUCGAGUCCUGCUGGUUCUCCCUGCCAGCCACCUUCAAGAGAGGCUCCUGUUCCUGCUGGCCCACGGAUGGGGAGGUGGGCCCUGGACGUCGCCUUUGUGUGGAAGGCAGCUCUGACCCUGGGCCUGGUCCUUCUAUACUACUGCUUCUCCAUAGGCAUCACGUUCUACAACAAAUGGCUGACAAAGAGCUUCCACUUUCCGCUCUUCAUGACCAUGCUGCACCUGGCCGUCAUCUUCCUCUUCUCCGCCCUGUCCAGGGCACUGGUUCAAUGCUCCAGCCACAAGGCCCGGGUGGUGCUGAGCUGGACGGACUACCUCAGAAGAGUGGCCCCCACAGCACUGGCAACAGCACUUGACGUGGGCCUGUCCAACUGGAGCUUCCUCUACAUCACUGUGUCCCUGUACACGAUGACCAAAUCCUCUGCUGUGCUCUUUAUCCUGAUUUUCUCUCUCAUCUUCAAGCUGGAGGAACUGGUCUCCACUUGUCCACCUCUGAGAAGAUCUUCCGCUUCCAGGACACAGGGCUGCUCCUGUGGGUGCUUGGGAGCCUCCUCCUCGGUGGGAUUCUGGCCUUCGGUUUGGGCUUCUCCGAGUUCCUCCUGGUCUCCAGAACGUCAAGCCUCACACUCUCCAUCGCUGGCAUCUUUAAGGAAGUCUGCACCCUGCUGUUGGCAGCUCACCUGCUGGGCGACCAGAUCAGCCUCCUGAACUGGCUGGGCUUUGCCCUCUGCCUCUCUGGCAUCUCCCUGCAUGUGGCCCUCAAGGCUCUACAUUCCAGAGGUGAUGGUGGCCCCAAGCCCCUGAAGAGCCUGGGCUCCAGCGCUGACCUGGAACUGCUGCUCCGGAGUAGCCAGCAGGAGGAAGAGGACGGGGAAGAGGAAUAUUUUGUGACCCAGGGACAACAGUGACCAGCCCAGGAGCAGCAAAGCAGGCCACUCUGUGGUCAUCCCUGCUGGCAGAUCUUGGCCAGGUCCAGCAGCCCAGCCGGUUUCUCAGAGCCGCUGCAAGUGGUGGCCUCAGAGCUUCCUGCAAGGACUCUGAGCCUCCGGCUCUUCCCUGUGGAGCUUGGUCCCAAAAAGCGAAUGCCAGGCUCACAUAGGACCUGAGCUGUCAGUGAAGGGAGCCAGUGGCCUGUCUCCACCAUUGUUCUGGUUCUGAGAGCCAAGGUGAACGUGAGAGAUGAGGUAGUCUCUCAGAUUCGGACUGUGGGGUAUCAGGAAAGGAGUCAUGGAGAGACUAGGCCUCAUCACCUGGACUGCAGCUUCCUCAGAGAGUAGAUUUAUUUAUAGUUGAAAUAAUGAUUUCCUCUCCACAGCCCAGUGUUGCCUAAGGCAUGAGAGCAGGGAGAGCCCUGGGGCCUGGCCUCUCCUCCGUUCCCUGCCUGGGGCCUUGUCCUCCGCUCCGCCUUCUGUAGCCCAUGCUCCUGUUUGUGCCCCAGGCCCCAUCCUUGGGGCCACACCAUGGACCCACCGCA